GGCGCUGUGGCCGAGAGGCUAGGCAGAGGUCUGCAAAACCUUUUACAGCGGUUCGAGUCCGCUCAGCGCCU
rnacentral:tRNA from 1 species